rnacentral:rRNA from 1 species
GCGUGAGUGAUGAAGGCCCUAGGGUUGUAAAGCUCUUUUACCAGGGAUGAUAAUGACAGUACCUGGAGAAUAAGCUCCGGCUAACUCCGUGCCAGCAGCCGCGGUAAUACGGAGGGAGCUAGCGUUGUUCGGAAUCACUGGGCGUAAAGCGCGCGUAGGCGGCUUCUUAAGUCAGAGGUGAAAGCCCGGGGCUCAACCCCGGAACUGCCUUUGAAACUAGGAAGCUAGAAUCCUGGAGAGGUGAGUGGAAUUCCGAGUGUAGAGGUGAAAUUCGU